GACGAACGCUGGCGACGUGCCUAAUACAUGCAAGUAGAACGCUGAAGGAGGAGCUUGCUUCUCUGGAUGAGUUGCGAACGGGUGAGUAACGCGUAGGUAACCUGCCUGGUAGCGGGGGAUAACUAUUGGAAACGAUAGCUAAUACCGCAUAAGAGUAGAUGUUGCAUGACAUUUGCUUAAAAGGUGCAAUUGCAUCACUACCAGAUGGACCUGCGUUGUAUUAGCUAGUUGGUGGGGUAACGGCUUACCAAGGCGACGAUACAUAGCCGACCUGAGAGGGUGAUCGGCCACACUGGGACUGAGACACGGCCCAGACUCCUACGGGAGGCAGCAGUAGGGAAUCUUCGGCAAUGGACGGAAGUCUGACCGAGCAACGCCGCGUGAGUGAAGAAGGUUUUCGGAUCGUAAAGCUCUGUUGUAAGAGAAGAACGAGUGUGAGAGUGGAAAGUUCACACUGUGACGGUAUCUUACCAGAAAGGGACGGCUAACUACGUG
rnacentral:rRNA from 1 species